rnacentral:rRNA from 1 species
AUGCCGGAUCCACAAGCGGGGAUUGGAGGCCCCCUUGUUGAUUUUGAUGGCAACUUUGUCGGGAUGAACUCCUCUCGUACCAAAAUGGAGAAGACUGCUUACGUGCGAAGGGAGGGAAUUUUCCGAUUCUUGGUGCUUCAUGGGAAGGUCAGUGUUAGAGUUAAGGAAGGGUUUCAUGAUGCUUCAAGGGCAAGAAUGAACAGUGAGAUGAAAGCAAUUAGGCCAAGUUUGAGUGCUAAGUCCGUAGAGAAAUUGAGUAAAUCCAGAAAAGGUGCCUUGAGUAAGCAAGUACUUUCCAGAUUAAGCAUGAGCAUUGUGGCGCUGGCCUCAUUCGAUGGUGAUACCCAAUUACACGAAUGCACGGGCACAUGCAUCGAAAGCUCAUGUCCUGAUGCUACGUGUUUCCUGACAUCGAUAAAUUUGAUUCCUUAUACUUGGUGGUUAGGGAAGAUCACUGAAAGUUUGACGAUUAAAGUACGCCUUCCUGAUGAUCAGAUUGUCACUGGGUGGAUAGAGAAUCCUGAGAUAUAUGUUGAUUUUUUUAUCGUCAAAAUCAAGAACGACGAUGUUAUUGAUCCCCUCCAUCUACGUCAUCUAAGUCUUGAUCGUGCCACGCAGUUUGAGCCUUAUAGGAAGGUAGCAGCUGUAUGGCGGCAUUAUGAUUCAGGAGAAUUAAAGGCCACAAGUGGAGUAGAUCUUGCCUCUGUAUGCGCUCUUACAGAUGAGGAGAUGUUAAGUACAUGCCGUAUCCAUGAGGUGGGGAUUGGAGGUCCCCUUGUUGAUUUUGAUGGCAACUUUGUUGGGAUGAACUGCUCUGGUACCAAACAAAGAAAGACCCCCUACGUACAAAGGCCUUCAAUUCGUGAAUUCAUGUGGUUUCGCGGGAUGGUCAGUGUUAAGGAAGAGGUUGAUGAAGCUGUAACUGCAAGAUUUAAAAGUCGUUAUGGAGAUUCAGCUUUCCUCAGGGCAGGAGGUGGGCAAUACAUAAAUCUUCUCGAUGAUACGUUCAAGAAGGAUAUCUUGAGGAAACCAUUGGGAGGUUUUGGAUUAGAAAUGGAUCGAAGUGCCUACUCACUUGCUUCAGAAUCAAGCAAACUUCUUGCUUCAAAAAUGAAUCGAAGUGUUGUCUCACUUGCUUCAUUCAAUGGAUUUGCAAAAAAGUUUUCUUGCUCAGGUGUAUUUAUAAAGGGCGAAGCGUGCUCUGCAACAAUUCUGACUUCAGCAAGUUUGUUCAGAGUUCCUGGCAGUUCACACAUGAUCGAUGAUAACUUGAGGGUUGUUACUGCUAACUGCUAUCAAUUUUUUUUCUUUUCAUUUCAUAUACUGGUUAACAUAACGUUAUCAUUGCAGAUUGAAGUUUGCCUUCCAAACCAAUAUCGAGUUGUAGGGAUAUUGAACUGUUAUAAUUUACAGUACAAUGUUGCUCUUGUUGACAUCAUGGGAUUCUGGCGUCCUCGUACAAUAAAAAUCCAUGGGCAUCCAGUUACCUCAUCUAUGGACGUAAUAGCUGUGGGUAGUCUUUUUGCGUGUCGCAAACUAAUGGCUGUUGAGGGGAAGGUGUUGAUUGGCAAACAAAGCAAACUUGAUUGCAAAGAACUUUGUGUCUCCACCUGUAAAAUCACCAAGGCUGGGAUUGGGGGGCCUCUUAUUGACAAUGAUGGGAAUUUUGUUGGAAUGAACUUUUAUGAUGAGGAAGAAACUCCGUUCCUGCCGAGGGAUGUUAUUCACCACCUCUUGUUGAACUUCAAUAAAAAACGGACUAGUGCAGAUGGUACUAUUGUCGAGGAUGUUGAAAACAGAUGGUUGUUGCCUGGCGGGACACACAGAAACACUGAAACUGUUGCACCGAUUGAUGGAAACAAAUGGCCGUUGCCUGAGCCACGCUUCGUUGGUCGUAGAGCCAAGCCUUUGCCACGUCAAAAAUGGCCUCUGCCUCGUGGCCGAAAGCCUCUGCCUGUGUGA